rnacentral:rRNA from 1 species
AAUGAACGCUAGCGGCAGGCUUAAUACAUGCAAGUCGAGGGGUAGCAAGAUUGUAGCAAUACAAUUGUUGACGACCGGCAAACGGGUGCGGAACACGUACACAACCUUCCUACAAGUGGGGAAUAGCCCAGAGAAAUUUGGAUUAAUACCCCGUAACAUAGCGAUGUGGCAUCACAUUGCUAUUAUAGCUUCGGCGCUUGUUGAUGGGUGUGCGGCUGAUUAGAUAGUUGGCGGGGUAACGGCCCACCAAGUCUACGAUCAGUAGCUGAUGUGAGAGCAUGAUCAGCAACACGGGCACUGAGAAACGGGCCAGACUCCUACGGGAGGCAGCAGUAAGGAAUAUUGGACAAUGGACGCAAGUCUGAUCCAGCCAUGCCGCGUGAAGGAUUAAGGUCCUCUGGAUUGUAAACUUCUUUUAUAAGGGACGAAAAAAGGUCUUUCUAGAUCGUCUGACGGUACCUUAUGAAUAAGCACCGGCUAACUCCGUGCCAGCAGCCGCCGUAA